rnacentral:misc_RNA from 1 species
GAAAUGCGCUAAGUAAUGUGAAUUGCAGAAUUCAGUGCAUCAUCGAAUCUUUGAACGCACAUUGCGCCCGCCAGUAUUCUGGCGGGCAUGCCUGUUCGAGCGUCAUUUCAACCAUCAAGCCCCCGGCUUGUGUUGGGGACCUGCGGCUGCCCGCAGGCCCUGAAAAACAGUGGCGGGCUCGCUGUCACACCGAGCGUAGUAGCAUACAUUCUCGCUCAGGGCGUGCUGCGGGUUCCGGCCGUUAAACGACCUUCAUAACCCAAGGUUGACCUCGGAUCAGGUAGGAAGACCCGCUGAACUUAAGC